CAAAAGAUGAAAUUCUAGUGCUUUCAAGCUCUCCUGGGCAGGAUGGCUUUUCUUGAGAAGGAAAACAUUAUAGCUCCAGAAAUCGGACCGAAAACAAAACUGUUAAAAGUGCUACAAACACACAGGGCUAUAUAAAUUGUGGCAGUUGAACAAAGAUUGAGUUAUGGAAGCAUUGCCCUGAUGGUGACUGAAGCCAACAAAGGAAGAAGGGAACUCUCAAUCAAGUCACUCAAACUUAGGCUAUGAGUCCAUCUACAAUCCAAUAUCCAUCCAUCUAACAAGUCACUCUGAUCCAACCUGAUUGUUCUUCUUCAGAAGUCCCUGAAAAGCUCUUUGAUUUCCUUUUCUCAACCACCUGUGUUAGAGACAAGUGACUGUCUCAAUCUAUAGGCUUCUUUUCUUCCUUUAUAAGUGAACCCUCUAUUUUUUAGUGAGAAAUCUGACAAUCCAGAAUUCAGACUACAUUUUCCAGCCUCUCUUUAAAAUGUCUGUGACUCAUAGAUCCAAAUUCUGGCCAAUGGUAUGGAGGUAACAUGAAGUAUCAGUUACCAAAUGAGAA